rnacentral:rRNA from 1 species
ACGAACGCUGGCGGCGUGCUUCACCCCUGCCAGUCGCACGGAAAGGCCCUGCUUUUGUGGGGUGCUCGAGUGGCGAACGGGUGAGUAACACGUGAGUAACCUGCCCUUGACUUUGGGAUAACUUCAGGAAACUGGGGCUAAUACCGGAUAGGAGCUCCUGCUGCAUGGUGGGGGUUGGAAAGUUUCGGCGGUUGGGGAUGGACUCGCGGCUUAUCAGCUUGUUGGUGGGGUAGUGGCUUACCAAGGCUUUGACGGGUAGCCGGCCUGAGAGGGUGACCGGCCACAUUGGGACUGAGAUACGGCCCAGACUCCUACGGGAGGCAGCAGUGGGGAAUAUUGCACAAUGGGCGGAAGCCUGAUGCAGCAACGCCGCGUGCGGGAUGAAGGCCUUCGGGUUGUAAACCGCUUUCGCCUGUGACGAAGCGUGAGUGACGGUAAUGGGUAAAGAAGCACCGGCUAACUACGUG